rnacentral:lncRNA from 1 species
UGCAGAAACGCCUUAUAAGCGCAGUAUCGAAUGCCACGCAAGUGGCUUCCUCACUCGCGGAAAAAAAUAAGAUGUUGAUGAAAGAUCUGAGCUUAAAAAUUAGGUGCCUGUUUCGCUAAUUAUUUCAUUGCUUGAGCUUAGGUGUCAACCCGGAUGAAGGCGCUGCAGCAAUCACUGAACUGAACGUAACUACAUCUGUUACAACAAAAAAGAAUUUAAAGGUGAACAUUUGACAGAGCUUUUAUAUUUUUAUUAUAAUUACCUGAAAAUCUCGAAAUUCUCAUUUAUAUUGUGCCAUGAAAGAAACAAAAUAUAAAUGAUACAUUCACAAGUGAUUCACAAUUCCUCGUUUUACGCCCUAAGUGUCCUCCUCGACGCAAUCGCCUUAUCUGACUUUCUGCAACAUUAAGGUAGUAAUUAUUACUCUUUACGCUUUUCUAUAUUCCUGUGGUUUUCGCCUAUAACUUCAUUGUAAAGUAUGAAAGUCCUACCCCUAAAUCGUGUUUCGUUAACCGCCAAGCUCCGAAAUAUUACUUUUUUCAGAUGUCAAGUUGGUUCAACGACACUGUAUCUGAGUUAUCAAGAUAACAGGUGAUAAGUCUUAUCGAGCUGACAACCGCUUGAAGCGCCCCUUGACUACAGCGGUGGCAGUGCGCGACACGUGUAGACCACUGUUUUGCUUGUAUACAGCUAGACAGGACGCUGGUUUCUGACCUCGGUUGGCUAGACAGCGUUCCUCUUUCUAAGUACAAUUACACACUCGGCAUCGAGAGACGUCUACGCAACAAGCUUCAAAAGGCUGCUCCGUUUCCGUAAUGAAAUAUGGGCUUUGGCGAUAGACUGUAAACGCACGCCGCUAAUCUUCGUUUAUCUUUUGAUCAGUCGCAUCCCCCCGUCUCUCUUUUUGCUGUCUGUCUGUCUGUCUGUCUGUCUGUCUGUCUGUCUGUCUGUCUGUCUGUCUGUCUGUCUGUCUGUCUGUCUAUCUAUCUAUCUAUCUAUCUAUCUAUCUAUCUAUCUAUCUAUCUAUCUAUCUAUCUAUCUAUCUAUCUAUCUAUCUAUCUAUCUAUCUAUCUAUCUAUCUAUCUAUCUAUCUAUCUAUCUAUCUAUCUAUCUAUCUAUCUAUCUAUCUAUCUAUCUAAAGUAACUAAUACCGGUGUCACACGGGCACUUUUGUUUGCGGUUAGCAUUGGUAACUGCUACGCGGUAAGAACUCGCGACCGUCUCGAUCGCGAUUAGUCAUAAUUGCUGGAGCUUUACGUGCCAGAACCACGAUAUGACUAUGAGGCACACUGUAACAGGGGCUGCGCAUUAACUUUGACUGCCGUGUAUUAUUUAACGUGCGCCUAAAUUACACGGAUUACACGGAAAUACACAAACGCUCUUGCAUUUCGCCACGAUCGAAAUGCGACCACCGUUGCCGGGUAAUCGAACCCGCGCCCUCAAGCGGCCCGAUCGCGACUAAGUGCACUGUGUAGCAGCACCUGAUCCGGACCGAGCCGAAUCGGCAUCUGCCGUGAUCGCGAUCAAAAGUGCCCGUGUGACACACACAAGUGCAACUAACUAGCUUGCUUGCUAUCUAUACACCCAUCUACCAAUCUAUAUCAUCUAUAUUUCUCUUCGCGACACGAAACAGGUAGAGUGAGACGUCAAUAACGUGUUUCGGGCGAUGGUCCAUCUAAACGAUUUUGACAAAUGUAGGGUAUCGAACCUUCUGGUCGCGGUUAGCCAGCGGUGAGCAAAAGUUGCCGGUAACCGGCUAAAGAUCACCGUGUAACGCGGGCUCCGCACAGGCGCGCAGGGUGGUGUCGUUUGAUCUCGGUGCCGCUUCUUCCGCCACUUCGUUGCCGCCGACUCGUGCGAGGAGGAAAAGGUGACGCACAACUUUAAAGAGACCAUUGCGACUCCGCUAGUCUGUGCAACGUAGUGUUAUGGCACCAACGCCGCGUCGUUCGCCGUAAACGAGUCCUGCUGGAAAGUACUUGGAUACAGUUUGCGCCAACUAAACACGUGAUUAAAAGAAAGAAAUUUUGAGGGCUAUAAGCUAACUGAGCCGUCCAUUUGUAUCAAUUCCUUUUUUGUGUGACUAGUUGACCGAAAUAAAUAGAGAAAGGUAAUAAUGUAUAGCGAUGGCAAAGAUAAGGGGCUCUCCUGUAUACCUGUAUCACCCGGCUAUCGCUUUUAUCUCUAUUGUGUAUUUAGCUGGGCCAGCUCGUAGAAGAGUCCCGCAAAGUCGUAAUACUCGUAGCGGAGAACAAACCACGUUUAUGCUUCCGAAAUUAAAGGAGAAAUUACUUUUAUUAUUUAUUUCUGGAUUACCACAAAAAUUAUUCAUUUCCUGGGCGUUAUCUUGAAACAUUUGCGUCCCCGACAUCAGUGUUUUAAUACUCGAGCUUCGUGCAGUGAGUUUACUUCACCUCAUAAAGACGCUGUCUACAGAGAAGCCACCUUGCUGAAAACGAGGCGGGGGCUUGGAUGUCGUCUGUCCCCACCUUAUAUUUGCCGCGAGUAGGAAUGACAAGCAUCGCUGUCUUUUUCUGGAGGGGCACUAGAACCGAAGCUAAAAUAUAGCACUAUAGGGGGAGGGCGCAAUUCGGCCAUACGGGAUGUGCGCGCCUAUAAAUGGUGAUGACCCGACGGCGCACUGUACCAUUGCUAAGUUAAGUAACGCACAACGUGCGUGCUGGCUGAGCUAGGAUACGCUUGUGUCCUGUAUACAUGAUAGACAUGAACGGUCGACCGCAGUGUGUCUACCGCGGCAAGAUUUGUCCUGACUAUAAUAAUUUCUAAGGUUUUUACGUGUGAAAACGCACACCGUAGUGGAUGGAUCCGGAAAUUUUGACCACCCGGGGCUCUUUAACGUGCACUUAAAUAAGAGUACACGGGUAUCAAGCAUUUUCGCAUCCAGUGAAGAUGCGGCUUCCCCCUCCGCCAGGAUUCGAACCCGCGACUUCCGGGUCAGCAGCCGAGUGCCGUAACCACUGUACCUACGCGGCGGCCGAGAUGUGCCCUGGCGAGGUACGAUCGCUUUGUGACCGUCCGUGAAGGAAAAAAAUUAUUUGGUAGGCUUUCUUCCCCGUGAAAGCAAGGCAAACAUUGUGUUAGGUUAUGACAGUAUCGCGAGUUUCUCCUUCCU